UCCCUGUUCUGAAGUCCCCGCGAACCCAUUGGGACUCAGAUUCUCCCCAGACCCCAAGGAUGGGGUCAUGGCGUCCCGAACCCUCCUCCUACUGCUCUCGGGGACCCUGGCCCUGACCGAGACCUGGGCGGGCUCCCACUCCAUGAGGUAUUUCAGCACCGCCGUGUCCCGGCCCGGCCGCGGGGAGCCCCGCUUCAUCUCCGUGGGCUACGUGGAUGACACGCAGUUCGUGCGGUUCGACAGCGACGCCGCGAGUCCGAGGAUGGAGCCGCGGGCGCCGUGGGUGGAGCAGGAGCGGCCGGAGUAUUGGGAAGAGGAGACACGGAACACCAAGGCCCACGCACAGACUGACAGAGUGAACCUGCGGACCCUGCUCCGCCACUGCAACCAGAGCGAGGCCGGGUCUAACACCCUCCUGAUAAAGUAUGGCUGAGACUUGGGGCUGGAUGGGCGCCUCCUCCGCGGUUAUGAACAGCACGCCAAAGAUGGCAAGGAUUACAUCGCACUGAACGGGGACCUGCGCUCCUGGACCGCAACAGACACGGCUGCUCAGAUCACCAAGCGCAAGUGGGAGGCAGGGGAAUUUGCAAAGCAGGUCAGGGCCUACCUGGAGGGCAUGUACGUGGGGUGGCUCCGCAGACACCAGGAGAACGGGAAGGAGACGCUGCAGCGCGCGGAUCCCCCCACAACACAUGUGACCCACCAUUCCAUCUCUGACUAUAAGGCCACCCUGAGGUGCUUGGCCCUGGGCUUCUACCCUGUGGAGAUCACACUGACCUGGCAGUGGGAUGGGGAGGACCAGACUCAGGACAUGGAGCUUGUAGAGACUAGGCCCGCAGGGAAUGGAACCUUCCAGAAGUGGGCAGCUGUGGUGUGCCUUCUGGAGAGGAACAGAGAUAUACGUGCCAUGUACAGCAUGAAUCCCAGCCAGAGCCAGUUCCUCUGCCGUGGGAGCCAUCUUCCCAGUCCACCAUCCCCAUCGUGGGCAUCGUUGUUGGCCUGGCUGUCCUAGCAGUUGUGUUCACUGGAGCUGUGGUCGCAGCUGUGAUGUGUAGGAGGAAGAGCUCAGGUGGAAAAGGAGGGAGCUACUCUCAGGCUGCGUCCAGCGACAGUGCCCAGGGCUCUGAUGUGUCUCUCACGGCUUGAAAAGCGUGAGACAGCUGUCUUGUGAGGGACUGAGAUGCAGGAUUUCUUCACGCUUCCCCUUUGUGACUUCAAGAGCCUCUGGCUUCUCUUUCUGCAAAGGCAUCUGAAUGUGUCUGCGUCCCUGUUAGCGUAACGUGAGGAUGUGGAGAGACCAGCCCUCCCCCGUGUCUACCAUGAUCCCCUUCCCCAUGCUGA